rnacentral:lncRNA from 1 species
GGCCCUGGCUCCUGGCUUCCUGAGAUUGAGGAGGAAGCAUCUGGGGACAAAGCUGGCGGGUCGGGAGCCCUUUGGAGUCGAGGUGAAGGUGAAUAAAGAAGAUGUUUUCUCUGCGGAAGCAAGUGUUGCUCACUUCGCUGAAACGGUGAUCUAUAGUUGCCCUUCCCUUUCUCCCCCAGCCCAGGGCCAGCCGCGCAUCUCGGACCCCAGCCAGCUGAGCUGGGGAAACGAGGCUAGCUGUUGCUCUCUGCCAACUCGGCACUGCUGAAAGAAGAGCUGGAAGCCCUCUCUCAGAAAAGUACAGGGAGCUGUUCUGGAGAUGACAGUGGCAUUUGUGUGGGGGGGCGGGGGUAGUCAGCCCGAGCUGUGGGACCUUUACUUCCUUACUCAUACGUUCGUUCCCUCAGUAGCCAUUUACCAGGCACCUGCUGUGUAGAAGGUAUCACACUACGUACUGAGGACAGAACUGAGAAAGAGGCAGAUGUAGGAGAUUCCUCGUGGCCCAGCUGAAACAAAUCUAACUAGUAUCCAUGAGGAUGCAGGUUUGAUCCCUGACCUCCCUUAGUGGGUUAAGGUGUUGCCGUGAGCUGUGGUGUAGGUCGCAGACAUGGCUCCAGUCUGGCGUUGCUGUUGCUGAGGUGUAGGCCAGCGACUAUAGCUCCGAUUGGGCCCCUAGCCGGGGAAACUCUGUGUGUGGCUAAGGGUGUGGCCCUAAAAAAACAAACAAAAGAAAGAACGAAAGAGGCAGAGGCAGCCUCUACCCUCAUGGAGGUUAUCAUCUAUCUGGGAAUGUACCUCGGCCUUUUCUUCAAGAAAAAUUGGGUAUUUAGUAAGACCCACUGUGGUCACGUGCAAUUAGAAUUAAACCACUAUCUAUGUAUUGGUCUUCUAUGCAUUAGGCAUAGGGAAUACUGAAAUGAAAAAGACAGAAAAAUGCCCUCAACCCCUGUCCUCAAGGAAUUAACAGAGUAGGCAAUGGUAGACUGGUAACAAGCUUAUUAGCAUUCAGUGUGAUGUGUUACUACCGGUACACAUGGGAUUCAGAGGAGGUAGAGACCCGUUUUCUCCACAUGGAACUCAUUGGCUUUCACUCAGUGAGAUGGGAACCACUGGAAAAUUUUGCGUGGAGGAGUGACAUAUUUCACACAUUUGAAAAAGUUUGGAGAAUAGAUUUAGGGAGUGAGGCAGGAGAGGAAAUAGGGACAUUGUUCAGUAGGUUUAUUGCAAUAAACCAGGUUUGUUUUCUUGGACCAGAGAAUUCAUAAUGUAGGUAUGGAGAAAAGUUUGGAUUUUAGACGUUUGGAAAACACAGCCAGCAGAAUUUGGUGAGGGAUUCAAUGUCUGGUAUUAGAGAAAGAAGACAAUGUUGACUUAAAAGUUAGUGACCUGAGAAGCCAGACGUUUGGAGUUUUCAUUAAUUGAGAAAGAGAAAAUUGUGGAAGUAGAGGUUUUAGGGGAAGAUCAGGAGUUUGGCUUCAGACAUGUUAAUUUCAGAUGUCUAUGAGAAUUCUAAAUAGAAUUAGUUGAUUAAACAGUUGGAUAUUUAAAGUUCAGUUGAGAAUCUGUACUAGGCUUAUAAUUUAAGAAUUGUCAGCCUGGCAAUUCUAUUUAAAAUCAUGAGAGUGUGGACUUCCUGUUGUAGCGUGGUGGAAACGAGUCUGACUAGUAUCCAUGAGGAUGAGGGUUCGAUCCUCGGCCUUGUUCAGUGGGUCUGGGAUCUGGCGUUGCUGUGAGCUUGGUGUGGGUCACAGACGUGGCUGGAUCUCAUGUUGCUGUGGUUGUGGCAUAGGCUGGUGGCUGCAGCUCUGAUUUGACCCCUAGCCUGGGAACUUCCAUAUGCUGCAUGCGCGUCCCUAAAAAAAAAAAUAAAAAA